GGGAACGUACCCUUCGGUUCGGAAUAACUCAGGGAAACUUGAGCUAAUACCGGAUACGCCCUUAUGGGGAAAGGUUUACUGCCGAAGGAUCGGCCCGCGUCUGAUCAGCUUGUUGGUGGGGUAACGGCCUACCAAGGCGACGAUCAGUAGCUGGUCUGAGAGGAUGAUCAGCCACACUGGGACUGAGACACGGCCCAGACUCCUACGGGAGGCAGCAGUGGGGAAUAUUGGACAAUGGGCGCAAGCCUGAUCCAGCCAUGCCGCGUGAGUGAUGAAGGCCUUAGGGCUGUAAAGCUCUUUUGUCCGGGACGAUAAUGACGGUACCGGAAGAAUAAGCCCCGGCUAACUUCGUGCCAGCAGCCGCGGUAAUACGAAGGGGGCUAGCGUUGCUCGGAAUCACUGGGCGUAAAGGGCGCGUAGGCGGCCGAUUAAGUCGGGGGUGAAAGCCUGUGGCUCAACCACAGAAUUGCCUUCGAUACUGGUUGGCUUGAGACCGGAAGAGGACAGCGGAACUGCGAGU
rnacentral:rRNA from 1 species